UACGAAGGGUGCAAGCGUUACUCGGAAUUACUGGGCGUAAAGCGUGCGUAGGUGGUUUGUUAAGUCUGUUGUGAAAGCCCCGGGCUCAACCUGGGAAUGGCAAUGGAUACUGGCAAGCUAGAGUGCGGUAGAGGGUAGUGGAAUUCCCGGUGUAGCGGUGAAAUGCGUAGAGAUCGGGAGGAACACCAGUGGCGAAGGCGGCCAUCUGGACCAGCACUGACGCUGAGGUGCGAAAGCGUGGGGAGCAAACAGG
rnacentral:rRNA from 1 species